rnacentral:rRNA from 1 species
AGCAGCCGCGGUAAUUCCAGCUCCAAUAGCGUAUAUUAAAGUUGUUGCAGUUAAAAAGCUCGUAGUUGAAUUUCGGGAUCAAUACGUCGGUCGUGCUUCGGUACGUACUGGCGUAAUUGAUUUCUCCCUUCUGACGAACCAUGAUGUCAUUAACUUGGUGUCAUGGGAAAUCAGGACUGUUACUUUGAAAAAUUGAGUGUUUAAAGCAGGCUCACGCUUGAAUACAUUAGCAUGGAAUAAUGAAAUAGGACGUUCGAUCCUAUUUUGUUGGUUUCUAGGAUUGACGUAAUGAUUAAUAGGGAUAGUUGGGGGCAUUAGUAUUCAAUUGUCAGAGGUGAAAUUCUUGGAUUUAUUGAAGACUAACUACUGCGAA